rnacentral:lncRNA from 1 species
AUGGACCUCGGAAGGGGCCGGCUCCCCCCCACGGAACUCGGAAGGGGCCGGCUCCCCCCCAGGGAACUUAGAAGGGGCCGGCUCCCCCCCCCCAUGGACCUCAGAAGGGGCCGGCUCCCCCCCACGGAACUUAGAAGGGGACGGCUCCCCCCCCCCAUGGACCUCAGAAGGGGCAGGCUCCCCCCAUGGACCUCGGAAGGGGCCGGCCACGGACCUCAGAAGGGGCCAGCUCCCCCCCACGGACCUCGGAAGGGGCCGGCUCCCUCCUAUGGACCUCAGAAGGGGCCGGCUCCCCCCCACGAACCUCGGAAGGGGCCGGCUCCCUCCUAUGGACCUCAGAAGGGGCCGGCUCCCCCCCCACGGACCUCAGAAGGGGCCGGCUCCCCCCCACGGACCUCGGAAGGGGCCGGCUCCCCCCACGGACCUCGGAAGGGGCCAGCUCCCCCACACGGACCUCGGAAGGGGCCGGCUCCCUCCUAUGGACCUCAGAAGGGGCCGGCUCCCCCCCACGAACCUCGGAAGGGGCCGGCUCCCUCCUAUGGACCUCAGAAGGGGCCGGCUCCCCCCCCACGGACCUCGGAAGGGGCCGGCUCCCUCCUAUGGACCUCAGAAGGGGCCGGCUCCCCCCCACGAACCUUGGAAGGGGCCGGCUCCCUCCUAUGGACCUCAGAAGGGGCCGGCUCCCCCCCCACGGACCUCAGAAGGGGCCGGCUCCCCCCCACGGACCUCGGAAGGGGCCGGCUCCCCCCACAGACCUCGGAAGGGGCCGGCUCCCCCCCCCAUGGACCUCGGAAGGGGCCGGCUCCCCCCACGGACCUCGGAAGGGGCCGGCUCCCCCCCACGGACCUCGGAAGGGGCCGGCUCCCUCCUGGGGAUGUCCAUGCCAAGGCUCCUGGGCUCCUCGGCGUUUCCCGUCACCACCCUUCUUACGGGUGUUCUUUCUCUGGCCACGACCCACAGCCUUGAGUUGGGAAGCAGCCGUUUCUGCCGUCCUUUCUUAACGACGACGGGAGGUGUUUGGUCCAGAUUUUGGAAUGCAGUCUAUUUUUUGUAUAAAUAUUGGGCUAUUUAAGGCCAGAAGAGUUUUCCUCGCAGCAGUCCUGUGAGGCAGGUUUGGCCAGGAUUCGCUUCUCCGCCUCGUGACCGCAGAGCUGGUCCGCUCCGGGCAGAAGCGGAGCAGACAGACGGCGUCCCGGGUUGGGGCCUCCGUGCGCCUCGGUCUUGCUGGGUCCUCCUCCCCUGACUCCCUCUCUGGGCCCUGCUUCCUGUUUCUCCAGAGGGCCCUUCUUUGCUGCUGCUGUUGGCCAAGGAGGGCGCUCUGGGGCCCGCCACGCUUCGUGGGGAGCCUUGGACAUUGCUCUGCCGCUCCUGCCUCGGCCCCGGGGCCGCAGAACUCCCCAGGGGAGCGGAACCGACCGGAAGCCCAGGGAAGCGCCUGACAAAAGAAACGAGUCCGGGACCACCUGCAGGAGGCUCGUUGGCUGUUUUCCGAGUCGCUCUGCAGCCCCCGCGGCCCGGUGGGUAUUGGAGGUGGCCACCCCGAGGGGCUAACGAGGCUCAGCGGUGGAGGGAAGGGAUGGGGAGGUCACGGCCUCCUGCCGGUCAGAGCCUCCUCUGGGAAAUGGGGCUGGGCCUGCCUGGAGGGAGCGGCCAGCCUUGGUGAGCCUCGCGUUGGUCGCUAUUAUUUCCUGGCUCUACGUAGCCAUAGUUUAGAGCCUUCGAAUCCAGGACAUUUAUUCGGCUAUCCCCCUUUGCAGAGCUGCUGCUGCCUUCCUCACGGAAGUGUUCUGAACAAUAACAGCAGAUGUGGAGAGAGCGACUCACAACAGCCUGCGGAGGGGGAUGCUCCUGGGAUCUCCAUUUUGCAAGUGAGGAAACUGAGGCAAGCAGCAGCAAAAUGACAAGGAUGUAUCGGGGGCCAGGCCUGGAAUCGGGGCUCCCCGACUCUUGGCCCCCCCGGCUGUCU